ensembl:lncRNA
CCUUAUCGAUUCCAGUCGCCCCGAAUGACGUCACCACGUUGCGGAGCGUCAUUUACCUGGCAGGAAACACGGCGCCUAAGCGGCUCAAACGCUCAAAAGUUUGAUUAUACUUUAUGAGAACCGAUGACAACAGGGCAACUUGCAAAGUAGAUAUUUCAUUUAAGGGAGGAAACACUACGAAUAUGCAAAAGCAUUUGCUCACAAAACACGCGAUGACACGCGUUUUUAAUUCCGCUCCGGACUCGUGACUCUCAACCCAGCAGCAGCGCUAACGUUUGCACGUCCUCUCCCGUUAAUGCGGCAGGUGACCAUGAUGAGAGAGACAGACAGAGUCUGGCUGGCGCUCGCUGGUAGUUCUCGCUGCAGUCUACCGGUAGCGUCUCCUUUCAGGCCAGGAUAGACUAAUGUCACCGAGCAGUGUCUAAGUUUGUGGUCAAAGGCUUGCACCCAUUUGCCACAGCAGAUGCCCCCGAUUUUUGGUAAGUGAAUGUGUUUAAUUGUGGGCAGGGACAUUACUGGAUAUUCUUGUGUAAUUGCCACAGAACAAUUUAUGUUAUACUUUGUUAUUGCUACAGAAGAAUGUUGCAGCUUUAAGGCAGGGAUGACUCCUGGAGUUGCUUUCUCACUGCAUAUGCUUUAUUUCACAAUCAGAUCGAUUCGAUAACAAAAACAUACAGCAGCUCCUCUCCUACUCCUAGCCCUUCGCUGCGGUGGAAAAAAGAACGACUUCAAUCCCCUUCAAGGAACAUACGUACAAAAUAGUUUUCCUGAUACACCAAUGGGGCGUUCAAUGCCAUCUUGUAAAUAUGAGUACUCUGGCAGAGUAACAGUUCAAAUGAAAAAUACAACAGAACAAACAAGCAAACAAAAAAAGAAGUGUGGGGUACCUUUGAACCAAUGAACAAAGUAUAACAAUUUAUACUUUUUAACAUAACCCGACCCCGUCAAUAUGUGAUAUGUCUCACAAGAAUAUUUAUUUUAUUAUUUUUACAUUUACAAUUUUUUUUCCUGGGGACCCUGUGACACCCCAUUGAAGAGCCGUAGGCUGGAUCUCUCAAGAUCUCACUGUUGGGUUUGUAAGGCCAUGUUACUCCUAAAUUUCUAUCUUGUUCAAAGAGAAGAUAUAAAACAAAGCUCUGAGCUAAUCGACCUUAGUGUUCUCCUUUUUUUAAAAAAAAAAAAAGAAUCGAUAAGAGAAUCGAUAAAGAAUCGAAUCGUUAAACAGAAUCGAAAAUGGAAUCGGAAUCGUUAAAAUCUUAUCAAUACCCAUCCCUA